UUUUUCUUCCCCUUGCCCGACAUCUGCAGCCUCAGCCUCCAUCUUUCAGAGCCUGCUCUGCUACACCCCUGCCCCCCAGCACUCUGCAGGGCCCAGCUAUAGCAAUGGUGGAUGACAUCCUCUCAUGAGCUCAGCAGUCACACAUUCUCUAAGGUGAAAUACAGAGCUUGUCCCCAUUCCAAAGACAGAAUUUGUGACAUUAUUUUGGCAUUGUCAAGGCCAACAACCUCAGCCACCCACAUCCUUGGUGAUGAUAAACAUUUCUUUACUGGGAUGAAAUUUUGUCUCUGCCGCUGUUUGAUGCUUCAUAAUUGGCCAACAAAUCUUUGUGGGGUUGAUUUGAGUGAGCCAUAAGGUGCAUCUUGCCAACAGCGGAGCUUACCAGGCGCCUAUCUCCCUUUCCCCGCCAAUCCUCACCUGGAGACCAGGCAAGGGUGCAGCACCACCAAUUACUCCAAGCGUGGCGAAGACAAGCAGGCAGCUAAUUGAAUUUGAUUCACUGAGAUGGCAACCAAUUUUACGCCAGAGCUGC
rnacentral:lncRNA from 1 species